GCCCGGCGAGUUAGCUCAAUCGGUGUAGCGUGGGACUCUUACAGUAAUCCCGAGGCUGUGGAUUCAACCUGAGGCUCCAUGCUGGGCG